UCCCUGAUGGUCUAGUGGUUAAGAUUCUGCUCUCCCAAUGCAGGGAACUGGGGUUCAAUUCCCAGUCAGGGAA